AAUCUCCAGUGUCCGAUGAGUGAUGUUCUGAGGUAAAUAAUCACUCAUAAGCUUGGGUUGUGAAAUUCCCAGAGGCAAGCUCAUCACCAGAUGUGGCCCCAGAGAAGAGCCUCAGCCUGACUUUGAGUCCACAUGCAAGGAAGGGGGACCAUGCACAGAAGAGGAGACGAAUCUACACUGUGACAUUGCUGGAAGAUGCCUGGUGGGACAAUGUAGGAGGUUUCCUCCCUGGUUUCAGAGCAGGCUGCUGCAGGUAGGAGGCAGACAUGCCCUCAUUGCUCUACUUACAGAUGUCAUCCCUUAUGCCUCUUCUGUUGCUGUGGUGAGAGCAUAACCUCAUCACCUAUAGUGGAAAGUUUAUGCUUUCUUGUGUGCUGCCCUUGAAGGCAGGGACUGAGUCUGGCUCAUGGUAAUGACUCCAAUAUACAUCAGAGACCUGCCUUACUUAUCAUCUAAUGCAAGUGUGUGUUCAUGUAUGUGUAUGUGCAGGUGCACGUAUGUACAUGUGCACGUGGAGGGUAGAGAUCAGCCUCAAGUGUCCUUUCCCAGGCACUGUCCACUUUAUUUUUGUCCACUUUAACUUAUCUUUAUCUUUCACUGGCCUGGAGCUUGCCUGAUAGGCUAGACUGGCCAGCCAGUGAGCCCUCCUGUCUCAUCUCCCCAGUGCUGCGACUACAAACACGCCACCAUGCCCAGACUUAGUUCUUUCCAUAUGGAGUUGGAGAUCAAAGUCAGGUCUCCACACUUGCGAGGUAAGCACUUUACCAAUGGGCCGUCUCACCAGACUAGGGUGUUCUUAGUUGAAGGGAAAAAAAGGAAAGCAGC
ensembl:processed_transcript